rnacentral:lncRNA from 1 species
AUGGUUAAUUAUCGAGGGGUUUAGGAUUUAGUGAUUAGAGUUUAGGGUGUAAUACUUUCUCUCAAGUCUAUUUUCCUUUCCAUUUUAUAUAGUAUAGGUGAUAGUACAAAAUGUUAUAUAUUAAUUUCAUAUUUUAAUUUAAUCUAAAAUAUUUUACAUUUAGAUUUGGGUUUAGGAAUUCAAGUUUAGGGUUUAUUCAGUCUUGGAGGUGUGUUGGGUUCAGGGUUGGAGGUGGGUUGGGGUUGAAUUACAAGAGUAGUCUUCAUUCCAUGUUAGAUAGUAUAGAAUAAUAGUUCAAAAUUUAUAUAUUUAUUAUUUUUUG